UUUUAUCGGAGAGUUUGAUCCUGGCUCAGGACGAACGCUGGCGGCGUGCCUAAUACAUGCAAGUCGAGCGGAUUGAUGGGAGCUUGCUCCCUGAUAUCAGCGGCGGACGGGUGAGUAACACGUGGGUAACCUGCCUGUAAGACUGGGAUAAC
rnacentral:rRNA from 1 species